rnacentral:lncRNA from 1 species
GGGACAGCUUGCACAGGUGAUUUCCAAGGGCAUGAAAUAUUUCUUCUACAGUUAGUUAUAAGUUCUGCUAUAUCCCUACAGGAGGAAUUAAGCAUGUGGAAGGGAAAGAAAGCUCCAGCUGCCCUGGUUCAUAUGAGCAACAGGACCCAAUCUUUUCAGCUGGGUAAAAUGAAAAUCAGCAGGAGCUGCAUCUUUAUUCUGAUACCUGCUGAUCUCCCACUCAUGAUGUAAUAGUACAGGACACAGCUCAGAAGGUGCCAUCUUUGAAGCAGAGAGGGAGCCCUCACCAGACACCAAAUCUGCUACUGCCUUUGUCUUGGACUCUCCAGCCUCCAGAACUUCUGAUCUGGGUGUUUAAACUGACUACUUCACACUACCUCUCUUAGAAAAGGAAGAACCAAUUUAGAACAAUGUGCUUGGAGAAAUGAAGACUCCCUACGUUCCCUCCGCUCUCUACCUCCCACACACCCACUAACCCCUACUACAGCUAUGCCCCGGUGUCUUCAGGGAGCUCACCCAACAGGAGCAAGAGGACUUCUUUAAGCUGAGACUGCAAAGGUCAGAGACACCACUCAGCAAAGAGCCA